GCUCUGGAGGAGGUUGACGACUCCGAAAUGGUGGAACUGAUGGACACCUGUGAUGAGACCUCUGCUGCAGCACCAGAACAAACAAAGGAGACUAGUCAAAACACCCCCUUUGAGCAGUUGGAACAGGCCAAAGUCCCUACUGAGGACAAGGAUGUACCAACUCUUCAACCAUCAGAGGGGAAGCAGAAAGAACCACCAGAGUUGAGUGUUCCACUUCCCCGGAGAGGGGAUGGCGAACAGGAAGAGGAGGAGGGGCCAGGGGCAGGUGAUGAUUGGCCCAUGACUAGGGUGUGAGAGGGCCAUCCCUAUGCAGGACACUGUGGAAGCCCUGGACAUCACUGAGGAAGGUUUGGAGACUCUGCUGUGCUACCUGGAGCUGCACUGUCAGCAGGGGGUAGAGCUGCUCCACCCCACCCUCUCCACCUGUAAGAUGGUCAGCUCUGCAAACUCACCUAGAUGUAGGGCAACAUCACAACACCCGGCUCAUGUUCAUUCAUUAGGGCACACCGUAUAUAUUUAUUUUUAAACUGUGUGCAUUUUCAGUUUGCAGAACCUCGACAAGUACUGCAAACUCACUCCGAACACCUGGCCAGUCUGUUACAGUAGACUGUUUACCUGUAAGAAACAAAGUCGUGUUGGAUAGGUUGUGUUUGUGUAUAGUAUGUAGGUGUGUAUUAUUUGCUCAUGUGACGUUUUUGUGGUCAAGUAAAGUCAGGUACGUUUGUCAUGUGGUUUGUUAUUUUCAUGUUCAGGCAAUAGAUUACUAAUGUUCACCAGGUGCUUCAACCGCUUUGCUGUAGAUAAGUAAUGUUUAUGGUGAGGGGUGUUGAUGAUUGGUGUGUGCCGUCUGAUUGGCAGCUGCCCACCUGUUGCCGUGGUGUUGGCCCGGAAAUGGAUGGCAGGGGAGGGAGUGGAGGCUUGUGAUUCACUGGGCUUUGACGUGGUGGAGGUGGCAGACACUAUGGGCUGGCAGCUGGGUCUGGUGAAGAGAGGUCUCAGACAACUACAAUGGGCCACAAACGGGAGUCUUGGUGGAGUUGUCCAACCUGUCCUUCAUAGGGUAUAUCCUGUCUUCCAGGAGUCUUGGUGGAGUUGUCCAACCUGUCCUUCUAUUUUCGUUCCUACGGUGACUUGACCCCGGACGAGAUGGACCGAGUGUGUCACACUGUAUGCCGCUCUGCAGUGUCUCAUACAAGAGCUGCACUUUCUGCACGGACGAGCGGCAAAGCCUGAAGCAGCAAGGGCUUCUGGGGGAUUACUUUGACAAGAGGAGAGACCUGGACCUGAGCAGGAAGUUCCAGGAAGAGAAGGAUGGAGAGGAUGAGGAGGUGUUGAUGAAAUGCAAG
rnacentral:lncRNA from 1 species